rnacentral:rRNA from 1 species
UGGAGCAUGUGGUUAAUUCGAAGCAACGCGAAGAACCUUACCAGGCCUUGACAUGCAGAGAACUUUCCAGAGAUGGAUGUGGCCUUCGGGAACUCUGACACAGGUGCUGCAUGGCUGUCGUCAGCUCGUGUCGUGAGAUGCUGGGUUAAGUCCCGUAACGAGCGCAACCCUUGUCCUUAGUUACCAGCACGUUAUGGUGGGCACUCUAAGGAGACUGCCGGUGACAAACCGGAGGAAGGUGGGGAUGACGUCAAGUCAUCAUGGCCCUUACGGCCUGGGCUACACACGUGCUACAAUGGUCGGUACAAAGGGUUGCCAAGCCGCGAGGUGGAGCUAAUCCCAUAAAACCGAUCGUAGUCCGGAUCGCAGUCUGCAACUCGACUGCGUGAAGUCGGAAUCGCUAGUAAUCGUGAAUCAGAAUGUCACGGUGAAUACGUUCCCGGGCCUU